rnacentral:misc_RNA from 1 species
AACACUGUUAACCUGCGGUACCUGCGGAAGGAUCAUUACCGAGUGCGGGCUGCCUCCGGGCGCCCAACCUCCCACCCGUGACUACCUAACACUGUUGCUUCGGCGGGGAGCCCCCCAGGGGCGAGCCGCCGGGGACCACUGAACUUCAUGCCUGAGAGUGAUGCAGUCUGAGCCUGAAUACAAAUCAGUCAAAACUUUUAACAAUGGAUCU